rnacentral:misc_RNA from 1 species
CAGGACUGGAACUCCAA